GACGAACGCUGGCGGCGUGCCUAAUACAUGCAAGUAGAACGCACAGUUUAUACCGUAGCUUGCUCCACCAUAGACUGUGAGUUGCGAACGGGUGAGUCACGCGUAUGUAACCUGCCUGGUAGCGGGGGAUAACUAUUGGAAACGAUAGCUAAUACCGCAUAAUAUUAAUUAUUGCAUGAUAAUUCAUUGAAAGGUGCAAUUGCACCACUACCAGAUGGACCUGCGUUGUAUUAGCUAGUAGGUGAGGUAACGGCUCACCUAAGCGACGAUACAUAGCCGACCUGAGAGGGUGAACGGCCACACUGGGACUGAGACACGGGCCAGAAUUCUACGGGAGGGAGCAGUAGGGAAACAUCGGAAAUGGACGAAAGGCUGAACGAGCAACGACGGGGGAGUGAAGAAGGGUGUCGGAUCGGAAAGCUCUGUUGUAAGAGAAGAAAGGGUGGGAGAGUGGAAAGUUCACACUGUGACGGUAUCUUAACAGAAAGGGACGGCUAACUACGUG
rnacentral:rRNA from 1 species